AACGCUGGCGGCAUGCUUUACACAUGCAAGUCGAACGGCAGCGGGGAGUAGCUUGCUACUCUGCCGGCGAGUGGCGGACGGGUGAGUAAUGCCUGGGGAGCUGCCCAAUCGAGGGGGAUACCAGUUGGAAACGACUGCUAAUACCGCAUACGCCCUGAGGGGGAAAGGUGGGGAUCUUCGGACCUACCGCGAUUGGAUGCACCCAGGUGGGAUUAGCUAGUUGGUGAGGUAACGGCUCACCAAGGCGACGAUCUCUAGCUGGUCUGAGAGGAUGACCAGCCACACUGGAACUGAGACACGGUCCAGACUCCUACGGGAGGCAGCAGUGGGGAAUAUUGCACAAUGGGGGAAACCCUGAUGCAGCCAUGCCGCGUGUGUGAAGAAGGCCUUCGGGUUGUAAAGCACUUUCAGCGAGGAGGAAAGGUGGCUAGCUAAUACCUAGUUGCUGUGACGUUACUCGCAGAAGAAGCACCGGCUAACUCCGUG
rnacentral:rRNA from 1 species